UUGAACGCUGGCGGCAGGCCUAACACAUGCAAGUCGAGCGGAUGAAGGGAGCUUGCUCCUGGAUUCAGCGGCGGACGGGUGAGUAAUGCCUAGGAAUCUGCCUGGUAGUGGGGGAUAACGUCCGGAAACGGGCGCUAAUACCGCAUACGUCCUGAGGGAGAAAGUGGGGGAUCUUCGGACCUCACGCUAUCAGAUGAGCCUAGGUCGGAUUAGCUAGUUGGUGGGGUAAAGGCCCACCAAGGCGACGAUCCGUAACUGGUCUGAGAGGAUGAUCAGUCACACUGGAACUGAGACACGGUCCAGACUCCUACGGGAGGCAGCAGUGGGGAAUAUUGGACAAUGGGCGAAAGCCUGAUCCAGCCAUGCCGCGUGUGUGAAGAAGGUCUUCGGAUUGUAAAGCACUUUAAGUUGGGAGGAAGGGCAGUAAGUUAAUACCUUGCUGUUUUGACGUUACCAACAGAAUAAGCACCGGCUAACUUCGUG
rnacentral:rRNA from 1 species